rnacentral:lncRNA from 1 species
UGCAAUGGUCUCUAGCCUGUGUGGGUGCACAGGUGGUCGUUCAGAUUACUCUUUCGUGAGAAGCUCUGAGGGCAUGAAGGGCACCGAAAUGGCCUCUCACCUGUGUGGGUGCGCAGGUGUCGGUUCAGCAGACUUUUUUGUGAGAAGCACUGAGGGCAUGAAGGGCACUGAAAUGGCUUCUCACCUGUGUGGACACGCAGGUGUUGCUUCAGAUUAACCUUUUGUGCGAAGCUCUGAGGGCAUAAAGAGCACUCAAAUGGCCUCUUGCCUGUGUGGGUUGCAGGGUUGCUUCAGCUUGAACGUUCGCGAGAAGCUCCAAAGGCAGAAAUGGCAUUCAAACAGAUGCUGGCUUGUAUGGAUUGUGGUGCGUGCUUCAGAUCACUUUUAUCCGUCUCAUGGGCACAGGAGUUACAGCCGUGGCAAUAUCCUUGAUAUGACUGCACCAUCUGCAGUUG